CUGGAGAACGUAGUCCCUCAGGUUCCCGUUUGGUUCUAGCCUGCCUCACUUUCGUCAAGAGAACUUUCCCAUCUAGUUCUGCCUGUUGAAGAAGGGACUCCUUACAGAGAGACCAUCAGCAAUGCCUAAGCUCCAAACCUUCGGGCUCCCUGGGCACCCAGGCUUUGGUACGACUUUGGUGGCUCUACCCUGAUGGGAGGAUGACCAGGCUCAGACCAUGCUGUCCACAGUCAAAGGCUGCCCUAGAUGAACAAACUGAGACACAGAGAGGCUAAAGAGCUUGCUCAAGGCCACACAGCCGAUCAGUGGCAGAGCCAGGGUUCAAACCCAGGUUAGUGCCAUUUCCAGGUCUACACUCUUAGUGUCUUGGCUAUACUGCCACGUGCAGGAUUAACACAGAACCAUACUCAGCAUCUCAGAGCAGCUGAUGUCCCAGAUUAGCCUUAUGUACAGAUGGGGAAACAGGCCAGAGGCGAUAGAAAUCAAGGUCAGAGGUUGAUCUCUGGUUCCAGAUAUAUCCCGAAUCUUUCCAUUGAUCUCCAUCUCCAGUGCUUUCAUUCUAGUCCAUGUGUCACCGUCAUCUCUGCCUGGACCACCAGAACAGGCCCUACUGGUUUCCUUCCUUCUACUCUCCCCCGACCCCCGCAAUCCAUCCUCCUGUUAAAACCCCUCCAAUGGCUUCCUAGAGGAUCCUUACCAUGGCUUGCAAGGCCCCCAAGAUCCCAUUCGUCUGUCCAGUGGCGCUCCACAUGUGCCCCUGCUCACUCUGCUCCGGCCACAGAGGCCUUCUUUCCACCUGGGUUAUUCAGCCUCAGGCUUGCACUUAUUUUUCUCUCUGCCUGGACCACUUUUCUUGAGGCUCUUCUCGUGCCUUCUUCUUGUCAUUCAGCUCACUUGUCUCCUUCUCAGGAAGGUUUCCCAACUAUGAUGUCUAAAGCAGUCCUUCAUAGCUCUUAGCAUUCUCUGAAACGACCUUGUUUAUAUGUGUGUGUACACUUACUGCCUAUUUUCCCCCCACCUAGAAGGUAGAGACUGUCUUGGUCACCACCGUAUUCCCGUCUGUGCCAGGCUGGGUGCUCAAAGAAUAUUUGAAGAGUGAAGGACAGGAUUAAGAUUACUGGGCAUUGCUGGCCUUUUGCUCCUGUUCAGCAGCCAAGGACCUGAGACUUACCUUGAAG